CGUCAGCAACAGCUGAAUAUCUGUAAAAAACAACAACAACAAAAAUAGAAGAAUUGACUCAGUAAUAACGAUAAGAGCAACAACAGCUGCGAUUACAUAAAACAACAAUAGUAGAAGCACCAGCAUUGACCAGAAGACUGCAUCUGGUUUUGACCUCUACUUUGACGAACGAACUUUGGUUCCGCAUCAUUCUAACAUUAUCGUUUCAGUAAUUGCUAAUAUCUCUCCUCGUUUAUCGGAUCCAUGAUGAACAUCACGUGGUCCUUAAGGAUGACUGAUGUCUUGUGCAAUGAUUUUUUUUUUUUAAGUACAGAUUGGAUCACCCUCAACCUCACCCUGCCGUCAGUUACAAUCUUAAUCCAGUGGCAAGAACAGGUCAAGAUGGCUGAUGAUGCUGACAGGUUUUGUGGAUGACCAAGAGAUUGUAUGCGUACAUAUCAUUGACAAGGCUGAAGACGAAAAAUAAAGAUAUACAUUGAAUUUUCGAGUGAAAGAAGAAUAAUCUCAGAUCACACUGUUAAUGCCAUAAUAAAGUAAAGACUAAACUUUGCCAAUUUUUCUAUUUUACAAUGGAAGCUGUUUGUUCCAAGGCAAAUGGAAGAAUCACCUUUUCCACUUCUUCAGUCGUAUAUAUUUUGCUUGAUUUAUGGCGUAAUGUGAAAUAAAACUUUCCAAUCGAUAAAAGAA